rnacentral:lncRNA from 1 species
UCCUCCCCACAACAAACAUUCUCUCUCCCUCACUCCCCAUAAGAAAUAUUGGGGCAAGGCUGUAGUGACGUGCAUAGUUGUAAUUUUGCAAGCAUAAUAACACUUUUUUUAAGCUCAUUUUUCCUCCUUACAUACAAACUUAUGCCUUAGAUUGUUUUUAAUAGAUUUGAUCUUUUGUAUCAUAAAUCCAAACCAUCAACUAGUAUCAUUAAAAUAAAAAUCAUAUAAUAUGCUAGCAUUUCUUAAAUCAAGAUAAAUGAAAUACUAUCCAUUCUAAUUAUAUG